rnacentral:lncRNA from 1 species
CUGCUGGGAUGGGAAAAGAUCCAGGGGCAGUGGUCAGAGCUCUGUCUCACAUGGUAAAGCAGGAAGCGCUGCUGCAGCAAUCUUGUGAAGAAGCAGAAUUGGCAGAGAGUCUCCACUGGCCAAAGAAGCACCCCUUCAGCAGGUUUCUUUAUGGAUUUUAGUAGCAGUCAGUAGCUCCUUAGAGGACCAUAGACGUGGCUUGGAUUCUGGCUUUCUUCAUCAUAAAGUCAUUCAUCAUCUCUCUUUGACUUUAGACUCCCAUGCCUAUAAAAUGGAGCUGAGAAAGCCUAACAUGGAAAGUGUAAGAUUUAGUGAGAUAAAAGUAUCACAAGGAAACACACUAAUACUAUAGUUAUUUUUGCUUACUGUUCUCAACACUCCUACACUUCAAAUAAUCAGGCUCGGACUAUUGGCCUCGAUUGCUGUACUGAUAAGACAUUGGCCACCAUCUUCUGGAUACUUCCUCUGGGAGGCACUCAGCAAAGUCAUGCAGGGCAUUCUGGACUGAGCUCCUUCUG